AACGAACGCUGGCGGCAGGCUUAACACAUGCAAGUCGAACGCCCCGCAAGGGGAGUGGCAGACGGGUGAGUAACGCGUGGGAAUCUACCCAUCUCUACGGGAAUAACUCAGGGAAACUUGUGCUAAUACCGUAUACGCCCUUUGGGGGAAAGAUUUAUCGGAGAUGGGAUGAGCCCGCGUUGGAUUAGCUAGUUGGUGGGGUAAAGGCCUACCAAGGCGACGAUCCAUAGCUGGUCUGAGAGGAUGAUCAGCCACACUGGGACUGAGACACGGCCCAGACUCCUACGGAGCAGCAGUGGGGAAUA
rnacentral:rRNA from 1 species